rnacentral:tRNA from 1 species
CCGACCUUAGCUCAGUUGGUAGAGCGGAGGACUGUAGUUCGUCGCAGAUUUAUCCUUAGGUCGCUGGUUCGAAUCCGGCAGGUCGGA